ensembl:snRNA U6 U6 spliceosomal RNA
GUGCUUGCUUUGGCAGCACAAAUGCUAAAAUUGGAAUGAUACAGAGAAGAUACAUCCAUGGCCCCUGCGCAAGGAUGACAGGCAAAUUCAUGCAGUGCUCCACAUUUAA